GGGCCCGCACAAGCGGUGGAGCAUGUGGUUUAAUUCGAUGAUACGCGAGGAACCUUACCAGGGCUUAAAUGUAGUGGGACAGGUCUAGAGAUAGACCCUUCUUCGGACUCAUUACAAGGUGCUGCAUGGUUGUCGUCAGCUCGUGCCGUGAGGUGUCAGGUUAAGUCCUAUAACGAGCGCAACCCCCAUCGUUAGUUGCCAACGAGUAAUGUCGGGAACUCUAACGAAACUGCCGGUGCAAACCGUGAGGAAGGUGAGGAUGACGUCAAAUCAUCACGGCCCUUACGUCCUGGGCUACACACGUGCUACAAUGGUCGGUACAGAGAGCAGCCACUACGCGAGUAGGAGCAAAUCUCACAAAACCGGUCGUAGUCCGGAUUGCAGUCUGCAACUCGACUCUAUGAAGCUGGAAUCGCUAGUAA
rnacentral:rRNA from 1 species